CAUAAUCACUUUGAAUCUAUAGUUAUGUUUUUCCCCCUUUUUUUACAGGGACACCAGCCUUCUGCAGAUUAGAGAAGGUGUUGACUAACAAGAGGGUUCUAAAAGAUGUGGGGAAGCUGAGCCCUCACUACCAGACCUCGUUGUUGGAGUCUUUCCACAGCGUCAUUCUGCGUUUUGCGCCCAAAAACGUAGUCUUUCCCUUUCUUGGAAUGUUAUGCAGACUCUACCUGGCAGCCUUGCAUUUCAAUGAAAAUGCUGGGCGUCCCCAAGCAACAAGUUCAGCUGGUGAGCCACUAUUUAAAGUGAACUUCC